rnacentral:rRNA from 1 species
GUGGGGAAUAUUGGACAAUGGGCGAAAGCCUGAUCCAGCCAUGCCGCGUGUGUGAAGAAGGUCUUCGGAUUGUAAAGCACUUUAAGUUGGGAGGAAGGGCAGUAAGUUAAUACCUUGCUGUUUUGACGUUACCGACAGAAUAAGCACCGGCUAACUUCGUGCCAGCAGCCGCGGUCAUACGAAGGGUGCAAGCGUUAAUCGGAAUUACUGGGCGUAAAGCGCGCGUAGGUGGUUUUGUAAGUUGGAGGUGAAAUCCCCGGGCUCAACCUGGGAACUGCCUCCAAAACUGCAUGACUAGAGUACGGUAGAGGGUAGUGGAAUUUCCUGUGUAGCGGUGAAAUGCGUAGAUAUAGGAAGGAACACCAGUGGCGAAGGCGACUACCUGGACUGAUACUGACACUGAGGUGCGAAAGCGUGGGGAGCAAACAGGAUUAGAUACCCUUGUAGUCC